ensembl:lncRNA
CCACGAGUCAGCAGCCGUGCCCUCUGCCAUCCCCCUCUGUCCCCCUGCCCUGCUCGCUCCCCCUCACCUGGCACAGAUCAGCUGUCCCUUGGUCCUUUAUUCGAGGCCAGCUCUGCAGGCUGCCCCGCACAGCUAUUCUGGUCGCUUCCUCUCCAAGUUCCUUCGAUUGUUGGACUGGCAUUGUGUGAGACACCCGCCACGCUUCCUCCCAUGCUCGCUCACAGCUGGGAACAGCCUCCUCUGGCUCAUUUUCCUUUGUUCACUGAAGCAUCCUGAAGUCAUCCAACCUUUAACACCACUGUGGCCGAGCUUGGUGAUGGCAGCCCUGUGCUUCGCAGGUUUUCCUUUUGGAGAGACUUUUUCCUGGACGCCCUUUGUGCAUGCUUACAGCUCAUCAGAAAGCAUCUGUUCUCUCCCAGGCUUUUCCCUAGGGCACAGUGGACAAGGAGCCAC